rnacentral:tRNA from 1 species
GUUGCUAUAGUGUAGUGUUCAUCACGUCGGCUCUACACGCUUAAGUUCCUUAGUUCGACCCUGUGUAGAAACU